ACUUAUAUAAUAUAAAAAUUAUAUUUGACUUCCAAUCAAAAAAUCUAUACCAUAGUAUAAGUA
rnacentral:tRNA from 1 species